rnacentral:rRNA from 1 species
AGAGUUUGAUUCUGGCUCAGGAUGAACGCUGGCGGCAUGCCUAACACAUGCAAGUCGAACGGAGUUAUGAGACAGCUUGCUGUUGAGUAACUUAGUGGCGGACGGGUGAGUAACGCGUGAGUAACCUGCCUCUCAGAGGGGGAUAACGUUCUGAAAAGGACGCUAAUACCGCAUAUAAUUAUGAAGUCGCAUGACUUUAUAAUGAAAGGAGCAAUCCGCUGAGAGAUGGACUCGCGUCUGAUUAGCUUGAUGGUGAGGUAACGGCUCACCAUGGCGACGAUCAGUAGCCGGACUGAGAGGUUGAACGGCCACAUUGGGACUGAGACACGGCCCAGACUCCUACGGGAGGCAGCAGUGGGGGAUAUUACGCAAUGGGGGGAAAAACCCCCUGACGUAGCAAUGCCGCGUGAAGGAAGAAGGUUUUCGGAUUGUAAACUUCUUUUGUCAGGGACGAUAAUGACGGUACCUGACGAAUAAGCUCCGGCUAACUAUGUGCCAGCCGCCGC